rnacentral:rRNA from 1 species
GACGAACGCUGGCGGCGUGCCUAACACAUGCAAGUCGAGCGAGAAUCUGCGAAUUGAUUCCCUCGGGAUGAUUUUUGCAGAGGAAAGCGGCGGACGGGUGAGUAACGCGUGAGUAACCUGCCCAUAAGAGGGGGAUAAUCCAUGGAAACGUGGACUAAUACCGCAUAUUGAAAUUCAUUCGCAUGAAAGAAUUUUGAAAGAUUUAUCGCUUAUGGAUGGACUCGCGUCAGAUUAGAUAGUUGGUGAGGUAACGGCUCACCAAGUCGACGAUCUGUAGCCGAACUGGGAGGUUGAUCGGCCACAUUGGGACUGAGACGCGGCCCAGACUCCUACGGGAGGCAGCAGUGGGGAAUAUUGCGCAAUGGGGGAAACCCUGACGCAGCAACGCCGCGUGAAGGAAGAAGGCCUUCGGGUUGUAAACUUCUGUCUUUAGGGAAGAAGAAAGUGACGGUACCUAAGGAGGAAGCCACGGCUAACUACGUGCCAGCAGCCGCGGUAAGAC